rnacentral:lncRNA from 1 species
UUUCUCGGGUAGGAGAAGAUGAUUCUCUUGCAACACGUGCGGAUUGUGACAAAAUCUUUCAUUAACAAGGGGAGUUUCGGUGAAGUGGAGGUUUGGGGAAAGGCGAGGAGGUCGGUCUGGAGCAAGCAAGCAAAGUGCGGAAGCUGUACGGGGAUUCUUCUAGAAAGUGGGGUGGGAAAGGAGCUAGGGAGGGCGUGUGGAGGGACGAGAUCUGUGUCAGAACGUGCGUGUGAGCGGAUACAAAACCCGAGAGAGGCGUGAGCAGCGCUGUGUGUGCGAGCGGGAGCGAGGGGCGCCGGCUGGGGUGUGUGCUCCUGAGCUCUUCAGAACCCAGGCUGCUUUCAGGAACAUUGCUGUGGAUUCCCAGGUGACCAA